CCUUACCAGGACUUGACAUCCUCUGCAUUACUCGUAACUGAGGAAAUCCUUCGGGACAGAGAGACAGGUGGUGCAUGGUUGUCGUCAGCUCGUGUCGUGAGAUGUUGGGUUAAGUCCCGCAACGAGCGCAACCCUUAUCCUUAGUUGCUACCAGUAAGAUGAGCACUCUAGGGAGACUGCCGGGGACAACUCGGAGGAAGGUGGGGAUGACGUCAAAUCAUCAUGCCCCUUAUGUUCUGGGCUACACACGUGCUACAAUGGGUAUAACAACGGGAAGCAAGCUGGUGACAGUAAGCAAAUCCCUAAAAGUACUCUCAGUUCAGAUUGUAGGCUGCAACUCGCCUACAUGAAGUUGGAGUUGCUAGUAAUCGCGAAU
rnacentral:rRNA from 1 species